AGAGUUUGAUCCUGGCUCAGAAUGAAAGCUGGCGGCGUGCCUUACACAUGCAAGUCGAGCGAGGCCGUGUAGCAAUACACGAGUCGAGCGGCGAACGGGUGAGUAACGCGUGGAUGACCUGCCCUCGAGUGGGGAAUAACCCGGGGAGACUCGGGCUAAUACCGCAUACGACCGAAAGGUGAAAAGGGGCUCGCAAGAGCUCUUGCUGGAGGAGGGGUCCGCGUCCGAUUAGCUAGUUGGUGGGGUAAUGGCCUACCAAGGCGACGAUCGGUAGCCGGCCUGAGAGGGUGAUCGGCCACACUGGAACUGAGACACGGUCCAGACUCCUACGGGAGGCAGCAGUGGGGAAUUUUGCGCAAUGGGCGAGAGCCUGACGCAGCAACGCCGCGUGGAGGAUGAAGGUCUUUGGAUUGUAAACUCCUGUCAGCGGAGAAAAAGCGACCGGUCCUAAUACGAUCGGGAGUUGAUUGUAUCCGCAGAGGAAGCCCCGGCUAACUCUGUGCCAGCAGCCGCGGUAAUACAGAGGGGGCAAGCGUUAUUCGGAAUUAUUGGGCGUAAAGGGCGCGUAGGCGGCCCAUCAAGUGACGGGUGAAAUCCCUCGGCUUAACCGAGGAACUGCCUGUCAAACUGGAGGGCUUGAGACCAGGAGAGGUGAGUGGAAUUCCCAGUGUAGCGGUGAAAUGCGUAGAUAUUGGGAGGAACACCAGUGGCGAAAGCGGCUCACUGGACUGGUACUGACGCUGAGCGCGAAAGCGUGGGGAGCAAACAGGAUUAGAUACCCUGGUAGUCCACGCCGUAACGAUUAGUGCUUGGUGUUAACGGGUAUCGACCCCUGCUGUUGCCGA
rnacentral:rRNA from 1 species